UGUUCAGUAGUUUAAUGUACCGAACCAAUAAAUCGCAAAUAAAUAAAUACAGUGGAAAGUCACAAAUAAGUCUAUUUUGUUCACUAGAUUGGGACAUAUAAAAAAAACACAACUCUGUUCCGCAGAGUAGCUGUUGACAUUAUAUUUGUGCAGGCACUUUGUUGACUCUAGAGAACCUCGGGCCAAUUGCACAUCCCCGUGACGGCGACUUUGCAUUCGGAUGUCAUCCAUAUCAACUUUCGAUGCCAGUUUCUGCGCCUACCAUGGGGACCACGGGUAACAGGGAAUCAGGGUUCCAUUCCAUACAGGGACCCUGAGAAAUGGCUACCACAUGCAAGGAAGGCAGCAGGCGCGCAAAUGACCCACUCCCGACGCGUGAAGGUAGUGGCGACAAAUAACAAUACAGGACUCUUUAGAGUCCCUGUAAUUGUAAUGAGUCCACUUGAAAUCCUUUAACUCACU